rnacentral:rRNA from 1 species
GACGAACGCUGGCGGCGUGCUUAACACAUGCAAGUCGAGCGAUGAAGUUCCUUCGGGAACGGAUUAGCGGCGGACGGGUGAGUAACACGUGGGUAACCUACCUAUAAGACUGGGAUAACUUCGGGAAACCGGAGCUAAUACCGGAUAAUUCUUUUCUACACAUGUAGGAAAGCUGAAAGACGGUUUACGCUGUCACUUAUAGAUGGGCCCGCGGCGCAUUAGCUAGUUGGUGAGGUAACGGCUCACCAAGGCCACGAUGCGUAGCCGACCUGAGAGGGUGAUCGGCCACACUGGGACUGAGACACGGCCCAGACUCCUACGGGAGGCUG